UUUAUUUUUUAUUUACUUUUAGUGAUCAACUCACAGACAUUUUAUCUUGGCCCUCCAUUCUUCACUUGUAAAGAUGACCACUUACAAUAAAUACAUGGAAUAGUGAGUUCUCCUGGGCACAAUCCUGUUACAGGAUGGCUGGAAUACAUCACCUAAGACAGGGAUGCUCCAUAGUACUUCACUGGUCUGCGGAGUCCAGGGGUUUCGUUGUAGCACAAAGCUAUGGUAGAGGCCUCCAGAGUGUAGUAGUUUGUGUAAUUACUUUCGCCUUUUAUUCUGGGGGGCAAGUCCAAUGCAUUCAGGAAAUGUAGAAGAAAGCUUUUUAUUCCCUCUUCCUCUUCACAUCGACAAAUCCUGACAGCCUGAAAAACAAAGAAGUGAAACAUGCAAUAUUCAACAAAUUAUAAGCUACAUGGACAAUACAUGUUUUAUAUGUGUUUUAUUGUCAUUGUUUAGUGUUAAUUUUGUUGAUGUGGAAAUUGGUCGAGGACAAAAGCUUCAGGUUAAAUACAUUCCAUUUACACACUUACCAAAGUCAGAAGAUUGGAAAAUGGAGUCUGGUGGGGUGGAUACUUGUAAUUGUGGAAUGCCUGUGGAAAUCUUCUUUCUAAAUCGUACAUCACAAGCCUACCCUCACGAGACUCAAAGAAGGCAUUUGGAAGAAGACUGGCCUGAUGAAUGUGACCUAAGAAAAAGAUGCUAUGAAGCAACUUUUAACAAACAUGAAUAAUGAAUAACAUAAUUAACAAACAAUGUAUAACAUAACAAGAUCAAUUAAUAAUUGUUUGUUCUAGAAACAAUUCAUUUGUAACAUGUAUAGUAAACCAAAAAUAUGCUAAAUGUGUGGGAAUGUAUUUUAAGCAUAUGAUUAGUGUAUUUAAUUAGGCGAUGUGUACCAUAUUCACGUAAUGUUGUAUUCCGUCAACUCCCAUCCUCAGGCGACUCCUCCAAAGCCUUACAACCUGUCUAAUAAAUGCUGUUCCUGAUGACUUUAAGCUUCCAUCAUUUCUUUUCCUCCAUUCCAGACA
rnacentral:lncRNA from 1 species